UACGUAGGGGGCGAGCGUUGUCCGGAAUCAUUGGGCGUAAAGAGCGUGUAGGCGGCUUGGCAAGUCUGACGUGAAAGCCCGCGGCUCAACCGCGGAUUGUCGUUAGAAACUGCCUCGCUAGAGUCCGGAAGAGGAGAGCGGAAUUCCUGGUGUAGCGGUGGAAUGCGCAGAUAUCAGGAAGAACACCCGUGGCGAAGGCGGCUCUCUGGGACGGUACUGACGCUGAGACGCGAAAGCGUGGGGAGCGAACAGG
rnacentral:rRNA from 1 species